rnacentral:rRNA from 1 species
GGAGUUAGCCGGUGCUUCUUCUGCGAGUAACGUCACAGAUGUAAGGUAUUAACUUACACCCUUUCCUCCUCGCUGAAAGUGCUUUACAACCCGAAGGCCUUCUUCACACACGCGGCAUGGCUGCAUCAGGGUUUCCCCCAUUGUGCAAUAUUCCCCACUGCUGCCUCCCGUAGGAGUCUGGGCCGUGUCUCAGUCCCAGUGUGGCUGAUCAUCCUCUCAGACCAGCUAGGGAUCGUCGCCUAGGUGAGCCUUUACCUCACCUACUAGCUAAUCCCACCUGGGCUUAUCCAUCAGCGCAAGGCCCGAAGGUCCCCUGCUUUCCCCCGUAGGGCGUAUGCGGUAUUAGCAGUCGUUUCCAACUGUUAUCCCCCACAAAUGGGCAAAUUCCCAGGCAUUACUCACCCGUCCGCCGCUCGUCAUCUUCAAAAGCAAGCUUUUGAAAUGUUACCGCUCGACUUGCAUGUGUUAGCUCGCCGCCACGCGUCAUCUGAGCAUGAUACAACUACUCGA